AUUGAACGCUGGCGGCAUGCCUUACACAUGCAAGUCGAACGGCAGCAUGAUCUAGCUUGCUAGAUUGAUGGCGAGUGGCGAACGGGUGAGUAAUACAUCGGAACGUGCCCUGUAGUGGGGGAUAACUAGUCGAAAGAUUAGCUAAUACCGCAUACGACCUGAGGGUGGAAGUGGGGGACCGCAAGGCCUCAUGCUAUAGGAGCGGCCGAUGUCUGAUUAGCUAGUUGGUGAGGUAAAGGCUCACCAAGGCGACGAUCAGUAGCUGGUCUGAGAGGACGAUCAGCCACACUGGGACUGAGACACGGCCCAGACUCCUACGGGAGGCAGCAGUGGGGAAUUUUGGACAAUGGGCGAAAGCAUGAUCCAGCAAUGCCGCGUGUGUGAAGAAGGCCUUCGGGUUGUAAAGCACUUUUGUCCGGAAAGAAAUGGCUCUGGUUAAUACCUGGGGUCGAUGACGGUACCGGAAGAAUAAGGACCGGCUAACUACGUG
rnacentral:rRNA from 1 species